ACGGAGGGGGCUAGCGUUGUUCGGAAUCACUGGGCGUAAAGGGCGCGUAGGCGGCUUUGUAAGUCGGGGGUGAAAGCCUGUGGCUCAACCACAGAAUUGCCUUCGAUACUGCAUGGCUUGAGACCGGAAGAGGUAAGUGGAACUGCGAGUGUAGAGGUGAAAUUCGUAGAUAUUCGCAAGAACACCAGUGGCGAAGGCGGCUUACUGGUCCGGAUCUGACGCUGAGGCGCGAAAGCGUGGGGAGCAAACAG
rnacentral:rRNA from 1 species